UGGGGUGUCCGCCCCUCCCCCUCCCCCGAAUGUGAUGUAUCAACCCGGGGUCGGGGGGCUGACCCCGCCCCUCAGAGCGGGCCGUGCCGGGGUGUCUCCCGAGGUAGCGGCCGCGGGGGGGCGGUGCCAGUCACCCCACCCCCUCGGAACGGGCUGUACCGGCCGAGAUCCGCGGGUCUGACCCCGCCCCCCAGGCAAGAGGGGGUCUUAUGGAUCCGGCCUUGGGCCCUUAGCGCUAUUGUAUCCUUAUGUAUCCGGACGAAUCCGUGGGUCUUAUGGAUCCCGCCUUGGGCCCUUAGCGCUAUUGUUUCCUUAUGUAUCCGGACGAAUCCGUUCUGUGGGAGAUGUAGCCAUAAGUAUCAGUCUGGCCCCCGGGAUUGGGAUGUGUCCGCCGGGGAUCCGCGGGCUGGCCCCGCCCCCGGGUCUGACCCCGCCCCCAGGGCUGACCCCGCCCCCAGGGCUGACCCCGCCCCCAGGGCUGACCCCGCCCCCCAGGAAGGGCUGUAUCCGAGGUGUGUCUGCACUUGUGUCAGGCGGGCCUGGCGCUCCCCUCCCCCCGCCCUCCUCCUGCGAUGUUUACCCGGAAGCCUGAAGCGGGCCUGCCAGGCUGCCACUGAGUCUGACCCUGCCCGGGCCUCCGCGGGCCGCUUUUACUUUGAGCCGACCCAGCCGUGGCACGUCCCUUAGAACUCCGUGGCUCUGGCUUUUUCCGUCCCGGGCUCGCGCUCUGACCCCUCCCAAGUUGGACGGGCGCCACCGGGCCGAGUGCUGGGGUCUCCCCCUCGGACUGACCUCUGACCCGUGGCAGCAUCUGCCCCCCCUUCCCCCCCUUGUGUAUCAGCUUGGGGCCGGAGCUGGCUCCCAGAGCCUGGGAGCAGCCCCCGCUGCUGUUGUGGCGGCCUGGCUGCGCCCCUUCCUCCUCCUCCUUCCUGCCUGGGACAGUGCCUGAGCUCUGGGGCUCAGUUUGCCAGGGGGUGAGCUGGAAGGCCUUAUUCCCCGGGCCCCACCCGGAGCUUCCUCGAGCUCCCCAGUGCUUUUGUCCGCACCCCCCUUCAGGGAUCCUUUCCCGUCCGGCCCGAUGGUCUGCGCGGCCAUUAUCUAUGAUUAGCCUUCCCAGGAAGGCGGCCCAUGAGCCUGUGAAGGCGGGAUCGGGGCCCAGACCAAGGCCUGCAAACAGCAAGUCCCUCUCCCGGUGACUGAGGAGGAAGGGGAGACCCAGAGAGCUUCCACUGGGCCCCGGAGAGGCCUGGCUGGGGAGCUGGUCUCUUCCUCUGCCCCCCCCCCCCCAUCUCUUCUCUGUUCAGAGCCCGUUCCCCAGCUCUCCCGUUCUCUCCCCUGUGUGACAUUCAAAGCUUCUGCCGCCUGGUCCCACCCUAAGCUGUCGUAGGAAAUAAAGCGGGAAGAACCCUACGUAAAUGUCAGCGAUCCUCCUCUGCCUUAUUGACUUCCCAGGCUCAAAUUCAUUUUUUAAAGCCCUUCAGGCCCGGCCCCUGCCUCUCUCCAGUCUCCUUGGCCUCACAUCUUCUCCACUCUAGGUCCGGCCAAACGCACCUUCUCUCUGCGUCUCAAUACUUAGACUCCUGGCCUCCAGGCAGCCCCCAAUGGCUUUCCCUCCUUAGGGCCUCUUCCUUUCCCCGAGCCCCCCUGGCUGCGUGAGCCUCCCAAACGCCCCUCUGCCCCGCUGCUUUGUGACUGGCUCGCACGGACUGAGGCUUAUUCUCUCUGUAUUUGCACUUAUAUGCGGGACAGAGUAUUAGACCUGGAGUCAGGAACACCUGAGUUCAGAUCCAGCCUCAGACACAUUAACUGUGGGACCCCGGACAAGUUACUUCACCUUGUUUGCCUCAGACACAAUUGAAAGGACUCGCUAACAAUACUUAUUGAUGCCUUUGCUGUCUUUCUCGUUAGAACGCCACUUCCUUCCUCGGGAGCUGUUUCGGGAUCUUCGUAUCUGGGUCCCUAGCAGCCGCCCAGUGCAGGGCCUAGCACAUAGUGGUGAUUGGGAAUGGCGAAGGGCACAAGGCUUCUUGGGCAGCAGAUUGUGGCCUGCCAGGGAGUAUGGCACGAGUGUGAGGUGCUGGGACCCACCUGAUAUCUGUCAGAGUGGUGCAGAUCAUCUGAAGAAUGCGGAGAGGCUGUGGGAGAGUCCCCUUCUCUUUUGAUCGAGGCUGAUAACAAGAGAGACUGUAGGAAAAAUAGAAACAGGAGGGGAGGUUGGUAGGGUGGGGCACAGAUCCCCACACCCUUCGUACCCUCCCCUUGGUGAUGCGGCAGGAAGGUUUGCUCUGUCUCCUCUGCGGGCCUCUGACACUCCCUGAAUGCUGGGAGACCUAUCUCACUACAAACUCAAGAAUAAUUGUCUGGUCGUAUAUGACCAACCUUCAAAACCCAGUUCAAAUGCUGUCCACCAUCGUGAGCCUGCCUCGAUUUCCCCAGACAGAAGUAUAGAUGUCAACAUGGAAGCCUCCAUUUCUUGAGCAUUUUAAGGCUGAGAAAGCUCUCUGAGGGAGCAUGUGCUCCCCCCUCACUGCUCAGAGGGGAGCUUGCAGCUGAGCCCGGGGCCAGGGGAGGUGAAGGGGGAGUGCCUUGCCCAGGCUCACUGGACAACCUUCCUCUUCCGGAGCUCAUCUUAGGGGUGGUAUUCUGACCACAAUCUGCCCUGGGCUUAUAUAGGAGCUCCCUCCGGACCAGGGGGGAGUGGGGGGACUUAUUCAUCUGAAGACUGAGCUGGAAAGGACCUCCCGGGGUCCAGCCUGGAUCUGAACAAGCAUCUGAGCCUCAGGCUCUGCCAAGCGGCUUCGGCCUCCUUAAAGAGCUCCGAGGGGCAGAUGCCUCUCCCUCUGCCUCUGCGGGCGGCCCAUCCGCCUGCUGGACAGCUCCCCAUCCUCUCUGCUCCCAGGCCACAGCCCGAGGAGGAUCUUUCCCCACAGGGCUGUCUUCCACAGGUAAAACCCAGCUGACAGUGAGGGAGCAGUGCCCAGAGCGCUGGGUCUGGGACGAGGACAAGCCUGCUUGGGACCCUCGCAAGCCGUGUGACCCUGGCUAAGUCCCUGAAUUUGAUUCAGUCCCAGGGGCCUGAUGACAGCGCCUCCCUUCCAGCGUAGCGGUAAGGAGCAGAGGAGGUACCUCCGGGAACGGGCCUUUCCAACCUCAGGGGGGACUUGCCACAGAUGGUUUCCAUGCUUAGCCUUGGAUCAAAGCCUUUGGGAGCGGGAGCGCUUCCCUAGCUUGCUGACUUCGUUUUGGGGCGGCUGUGAUUGUGGGAAGUUUGUCCCGCCGUGGCCCCCGCUGCCCCCCUGCUGCA